rnacentral:rRNA from 1 species
CAGUCGCCGCGGUAAUACGGAGGGUGCAAGCGUUAAUCGGAAUUACUGGGCGUAAAGCGCACGCAGGCGGUUUGUUAAGUCAGAUGUGAAAUCCCCGAGCUUAACUUGGGAACUGCAUUUGAAACUGGCAAGCUAGAGUCUUGUAGAGGGGGGUAGAAUUCCAGGUGUAGCGGUGAAAUGCGUAGAGAUCUGGAGGAAUACCGGUGGCGAAGGCGGCCCCCUGGACAAAGACUGACGCUCAGGUGCGAAAGCGUGGGGAGCAACCAGGAUUAGAUACCCCAGUAGUCCCUGUCUCUUAUCA